UCCCGAGUGGCUUAGUGGUAAAGAAUCCACCUGCAAUGUAGGAGACACAGGUUCCAUCCCUGAUCCAGGAA
rnacentral:tRNA from 1 species